rnacentral:rRNA from 1 species
UACGGAGGGAGCUAGCGUUGUUCGGAAUUACUGGGCGUAAAGCGCACGUAGGCGGCUUUUUAAGUCCGGGGUGAAAUCCCGGGGCUCAACCCCGGAACUGCCCUUGAAACUGGAGAGCUAGAAUCUUGGAGAGGCGAGUGGAAUUCCGAGUGUAGAGGUGAAAUUCGUAGAUAUUCGGAAGAACACCAGUGGCGAAGGCGACUCGCUGGACAAGUAUUGACGCUGAGGUGCGAAAGCGUGGGGAGCAAACAGG